UUCGAUAAGGGCGACUAGUAAAACCCAAGCCCAAUAACCUCUUAAAACACACACACACGCAUCCUUUCCUCUUCACUCAUUCCUAUCACAGGUAGUGAAAAAACAACAACUUUGGGAAGAAAAGAUCCUACAACUUUCGGCCAACCAAUAAAUUUUAAGGUUCAAGUUGACAUUGCUUGGCGCACUUGAGUUGAACUUGGUUAGCCUUGCGAGGUAACUGUGCAGAGAAAUGGCAAAAGGUCUCAUAUGGGCAACAGCAGAGGAUUUGGCGAGGAAUAGAGGACGAGUUCUCUCUCUUUAUCGCCAGAUAUUGCGAAGCAUCAACUCCCCAAAGCUUCCACUCACUUUUGCAGCAAGAUUGGCUAAGAAAGCAGAGGUUCGUGCUAUCUUCCUGUUGGCUUCUGAAGAGACAUCCCUGCAUAACAUUGAAGACCUUAUUGACACUGCUGAGUACUCUCUUUCCCUUCUAAGAAAAGGCGAAAUCCCCAAAUACAUACAAUGAAUGAUUCAGUAUUCGUUGCGACUUGUUGCUGAGUGCUGGCUCUUUGGGGACCUGGGUCUAACUGGUUUGUUGGUGAAAAUCACAUCUUGAGGGUUCAAGGUAUGUUAGAGAAAGACUUACCUCCUAUGAUGUGAAGACAAUAUUGGGGAGCUGAUUUGUAUUCAAUGCCAAAGAAUGAUUUUUCUUCAUAAGAUGCGCUCCAAACAAUUUGUAUCUAAAAAAAAAAAAAACCUGAAAUUGAGAUAUUGUUAUUAAUAAACCUGAUAUGGGAAGGUUUCUAAAAGUUGCACUUCAAUUCUUGAA